UGGGGAAUAUUGGACAAUGGGCGGAAGCCUGAUCCAGCAACGCCGCGUGAGGGAUGACGGCCUUCGGGUUGUAAACCUCUUUCAGUACCGACGAAGCGAAAGUGACGGUAGGUACAGAAGAAGCACCGGCCAACUACGUGCCAGCAGCCGCGGUAAUACGUAGGGUGCGAGCGUUGUCCGGAAUUAUUGGGCGUAAAGGGCUCGUAGGCGGUUUGUCGCGUCGGGAGUGAAAACACUGGGCUUAACUCAGUGCUUGCUUCCGAUACGGGCAGCCUAGAGGUAUGCAGGGGAGAACGGAAUUCCUGGUGUAGCGGUGAAAUGCGCAGAUAUCAUGAGGAACACCGGUGGCGAAGGCUGUUCUCUGGGCAUUACCUGACGCUGAGGAGCGAAAGUGUGGGGGGCGAACAGG
rnacentral:rRNA from 1 species